GGUGAGUAACAAGGAAAACAAUUUUUAAUUGAAAAAAAUAUUCAUUGAUAAAUUAAUGCAUGGUUACAAUACGCAAAGAAAGGAAUCCAAAAAUUAUAAACAGAACAAAAAAAACCCAAAAAAGCAAGCGAACAAAAACAACCCAAAAACCUCGACCAAAAAACAAAAAACUACAGCACCCACCUACAACGCUACCAUGAAACAUUACACAAAAAAGAAGUGCAUGUCAAAAAAUCAAAACUUUACAUCCAACAACAACUGCUAAAUCAAUAAAAAAAAAUGAAAAAUGUGAUAACAACUCCAACAAGAAGAAGAAAGUCAAAUCAAAACCUCAACAACCAACCGCAAUAACCCACGUGAAUGGUGGUUCAAUACUCCAAUGGUGGUUCGACAAACAAUGCACCUCUGCCACACUCUGGCUAAUAAAGAACAAGAACCACCAAGAAGCGAACAACGAUGCUUCAAUGGUGGUUCCUCUAACUAAACAAAAAUCGCU
rnacentral:lncRNA from 1 species